rnacentral:rRNA from 1 species
GAUUCUGGCUCAGGAUGAACGCUAGCUACAGGCUUAACACAUGCAAGUCGAGGGGCAGCAUAACGAAAGCUUGCUUUGUUGAUGGCGACCGGCGCACGGGUGAGUAACGCGUAUCCAACCUUCCCUAUACUAGAGGAUAGCCCGGCGAAAGUCGGAUUAAUACUCUAUGUUCUUCGUAGAAGACAUCUGAAAUGAAGCAAAGGUUUACCGGUAUAGGAUGGGGAUGCGUCUGAUUAGGUUGUUGGCGGGGUAACGGCCCACCAAGCCCACGAUCAGUAGGGGUUCUGAGAGGAAGGUCCCCCACAUUGGAACUGAGACACGGUCCAAACUCCUACGGGAGGCAGCAGUGAGGAAUAUUGGUCAAUGGACGAGAGUCUGAACCAGCCAAGUAAGCGUGCAGGAUGACGGCCCUAUGGGUUGUAAACUGCUUUUAUACAGGGAUAAAGUGACGUACGUGUACGUUUUUGUAGGUACUGUAUGAAUAAGGACCGGCUAAUUCCGUGCCAGCCGCGGC